UUAAAUAAAGCCAAUAUAAUUAGGAAGAUAUGGUUCCAAGUUUCUACCAAACACCGUGAAUGUUUGACUAUUGAGCGUAGUUU
rnacentral:ncRNA from 1 species